AUCACUAUUAUUCCAUCAGAGUAAGCCGGGAAACGAAUUUAAGAAAUGUGAUAAAAAGACAUCAACAAGGUACACAAAUGUUAUUGCUUAUUGGAUUGCUACUGACAUGGAGCCAUACAAUGAAAUGUCAAAAGAAGGUUUUAGCUCAUGAUGGCUGUGUUAUGUCCUGGUUAUACAGUUCCUAGUAGACAAGUGUUUGCUAAUAUUAAAUCCCUGCUAUUUAGGCUGAUGAGAAAAUAUGAAUAGCAAAUGAACUUCAAACUAUACAGUAUAUAGCCUUAACAUUUGAUUGUUGGUCUUCAAAUAUAUUACACCCUUAUAUUGCAAUUUCUGCUCAUGGGAUUAAUAAAAAUUGGGAGUUAAAAAACCCUUUGAAUAAUGGUGUUUCAGCUGUUCUAAAAUUGAAACCAGUAAAUUUCAUUAUAAAUAAAGUAACCACAAUUCGAGCAAAAUGUCACUAUAGUUCAAAUAUACGCCGGUUGUUAAAAAAGCCCAAGAAAAUCGUCAACUUUCAAUUAAAGUUAGGCCAGGUGCUUGCGAGACUUGAUAGUGGUCUUACUUGCCUGCACUUAAGUUUAUAAAAGACCGUCAUGUACCUCUUCGUGAUGUUUUAUAUGAAAUUAGCUUAAAUCCCAAGGCUCUACUACUGCUUCCAAAUGAUGAGAACUUGAACUUUUAAAUUUAAUAUAUAAAAUGUUAAAGCUUCCUCAACAACUUGGUGAACAUAUAACAGCUGAAAAGGUAGUAACUGCUUUAGUACUUUGGCCUGUAUAUUCUCGCUUGGAAAAUAAUUUACUACACUCGGAUUCUACUUCUUACACUUGUAGCUUAAGAAGCUGCAUGUAGCGUAGACCUUUUUUCUACAUAAACAGAAUGUGAUAUCUUGACUGUUGGUUAUAAUACUAAAAGUUCUAAUUUUGAGACUGUGGCCAAAAUUAGUGAUAAAGAAACUCAAUGUUGGAUCCUAGAUAUAAUCCAGAUUAAUUGACUCUCAGAAAGAUGUUGUAAAUCAUAUAAAAUUAGAAAUGGACACUCUUGGACACCAGUAAUGUAAAAAAAAAACUGAAGUUAUAAAAAAAGAAGGUUUGGCAGCGUUUUUGUCAAUGGAAGUUCCAACAGUCAACGGCAGCCCACAUAUUGAUCUAAACUCGCUCGAAUUCAAUAAAUAUAUGAACAUGGAUCCUAUAAGUUUAGUUUCAGACCCUAAUCAUCGAGGAAUGUUGUGAACUGUUUAGAAAAUAAUUUGGGGAAUAAGUUGUCGUACACAGUGGAAUAUUGAAAGGAUAGGAAGAGCGGAAAUGGGCACAGGGAAUUUUAAAGUUGACCUUGGAUAGAAGUUCAGGACAGUCGAUCGACCCAUUGAUGAGUUGGACUAGGAAGACCUUAUUAAUGAUAUGCUGCAAACCCAAAAACUUCUGUUGGACCCUAUCCAGCUGAUUAAAAAUGUUUUGGACCAUAUAUAAAAAAAACAUUGGAAAAUAAGACAAAAACAGAAAAAUUGUUAAGACAAGAAAAAAAUAACAGAUUAAAAAUGAAAAUAAAGACAUUGAACAGUCUAAUAGAUAAAUUACAAGCUGAUAACAAAAUUACAGCCAAGUGGUUCUAAUGGUAAUAUGACUAAUUUUUAACUUUCAAUUUUUUUACAGAUUUUCUUAUGUCUAUCUUAAACAAGAA